rnacentral:lncRNA from 1 species
UAAUAUAUUCAAUCAAAACCAACAUGAUUCAACAAAAGAAUCAAAACAAUAACAAACCGAAACAAAUAACAAAAACAAAUACAAAAAAGUAAAUGAAAAUCAGCUAUUUUUUACAAAACACAAGAUAUACAAAAAUUGUAUUGAUUUAUAGAAAUUAGAUGAUGGAUACAAAAACACAUUACCUAAAUGCCCCAAGUCCGACUACACAUGGAAAAAUCGGGAAUCAAUAACCAAAAGUUCAAAAAUAAAUUAAAAAACGUAAUGAUUAACUUUAAUCGACUACUGAGCAUAGUCGAUUAAAACUUAACAUAGUCGAUUAGGGGUCUAGCAUGCGCGACUUUCUCCGCCCCGCCGGAUCUAACCAAAAACUCUAGAUCUGUCUUUCCAUUGUCAUACCGUCGUCACACCACACCAUCACCAUCCCCACCAUCAUCACCACAAAAACACCGUCUAAUUUCCACCCGCAUGGAGAGUGAUCUCAUUCUUCUCGGACGACAAUAGUAGAUCGACUCUCAUGGCGAGAAGGGGCUGCUGUUGCUCACGACAGCAGCAUCGUGGUGGUUCAGGCCUCGUGGAGCGCAGCCAUGAGGGCGUAGAAGAUAUGGGGCGCCGACAAUUCUUUGUCCGACUUCUUGCUUUUGUGAGAGAGAAGAAGGAUG